GAAUGGUCACAAAUAUAUCUCAAAUAAAUCUUAAUCUAAUCUUAAUUUAAUCUUAUUUAAAAUCCUAUUGGAUUGCAAUCAAACUUUAGGCCAAAAACUAACUAUAACUUAAAUUCUAAAUCAAAUCCUAACCAAAUCAUAAAUCCUAAAUCAAACCUUAAUCAAAUCCUAAUCCUAAAUCAAAUCCUAACCAAAUUCUAAGUCCUAAAUCAAAUCCUAGUAAUUCCUAUAAUAAAUUUAAACCUCAAUAACUAAUAAAUGAACCAUUGAUUUUAGUUCAAAAUUUAUACACUUCUUAAUAAUUAAGUUAAAACAAAUAAAAAAAUUAAAAAAUAUUAAAAUUACCAAAUAGAUGAUAACCUCAAAAACGUGCUCAAAUAUUAGCUAGACUCCUUCUCCGACCUUCAUGCCAAUCUCCCAGAGCCAAUAUCUCUUUUUUUCAUUAUUCAAUUGAUUUUAAAAUUUUCAUAUAUAUAUAUAUAUAUAUAUAUAUAUAUAUGAAAAUAAGUCUACUAUCUUCACUCAUAAAUUUCACUCCAAUCCAAUUAGUAGAUUGCAAGAAAUCUUAAAAACCCUCACUCAACCUAAAAUUCUAUUUUCUGAUACCUUGACCCACUUAAACCUCAAUAACCCUCAAUUCAACAAUUAGAUAAAGCUAAAAUUCACAAUACAUAUUAAACACAACUAUAACCAUUAAUUCACAAAAUUUUACUUGUAGAUCUAUUACAAAACUCUUGAAAUCGUCCAAAACGUCAAUUCUAUUUUAUUUUAUAAAAUUCAAGUCAUCCAAAAAUAAACUUGAUUUUAUAAAGCUCUUACAAAGUCAUUACAAAUCCAAAUC
rnacentral:lncRNA from 1 species